GACGAACGCUGGCGGCAGGCCUAACACAUGCAAGUCGCACGAGUGGCGUACGGGUGAGUAAUGUCUGGGAAACUGCCUGAUGGAGGGGGAUAACUACUGGAAACGGUAGCUAAUACCGCAUACCAUCAGAUGUGCCCAGAUGGGAUUAGCUUGUUGGUGGGGUAACGGCUCACCAAGGCGACGAUCCCUAACUGGUCUGAGAGGAUGCCCAGCCACACUGGAACUGAGACACGGUCCAGACUCGUACGUGGGGCAGCGGUGGGGAAUAUUGCAAAAUGGGAGAAAGCCUGAGGCAGCCAUGCCGCGUGUAUGAAGAAGGCCUUCGGUUUGUAAAGUACUUUCAGCGGGGAGGCGUUACCCGCAGAAGAAGCACCGGCUAACUCCGUGCCAGCAGCCGCGGUAAUUC
rnacentral:rRNA from 1 species